UGGGGAAUAUUGCACAAUGGGCGCAAGCCUGAUGCAGCGACGCCGCGUGAGGGAUGACGGCCUUCGGGUUGUAAACCUCUUUCGCCAGGGACGAAGCGCAAGUGACGGUACCUGGAGAAGAAGGACCGGCCAACUACGUGCCAGCAGCCGCGGUAAUACGUAGGGUCCGAGCGUUGUCCGGAAUUACUGGGCGUAAAGAGCUCGUAGGUGGUUUGUCGCGUUGUUCGUGAAAACUCACAACUCAAUUGUGGGCGUGCGGGCGAUACGGGCAGACUGGAGUACUGCAGGGGAGACUGGAAUUCCUGGUGUAGCGGUGGAAUGCGCAGAUAUCAGGAGGAACACCGGUGGCGAAGGCGGGUCUCUGGGCAGUAACUGACGCUGAGGAGCGAAAGCGUGGGGAGCGAACAGG
rnacentral:rRNA from 2 species